UACAGAGGGUGCGAGCGUUAAUCGGAGUUACUGGGCGUAAAGGGCGCGUAGGCGGACAUAUGAGUGUGAUGUGAAAGCCCUGGGCUUAACCUAGGAAGUGCAUCGCAAACGAUAUGUCUGGAGUAGAUGAGAGGGUGGCGGAAUUUCCGGUGUAGCGGUGAAAUGCGUAGAGAUCGGAAGGAACUUCAAUGGCGAAGGCAGCCACCUGGCAUCAUACUGACGCUGAGGCGCGAGAGCGUGGGGAGCGAACAGG
rnacentral:rRNA from 1 species